rnacentral:rRNA from 1 species
GCCUACGGGGGGCAGCAGUGAGGAAUAUUGGUCAAUGGCCGGAAGGCUGAACCAGCCAAGUCGCGUGAGGGAAUAAGGCCCUAUGGGUCGUAAACCUCUUUUGUCAGGGAGCAAAGGCGUCCACGAGUGGACGAAAGGAGAGUACCUGAAGAAAAAGCAUCGGCUAACUCCGUGCCAGCAGCCGCGGUAAUACGGAGGAUGCGAGCGUUAUCCGGAUUUAUUGGGUUUAAAGGGUGCGUAGGCGGGCUUUUAAGUCAGCGGUAAAAAUUCGGGGCUCAACCCCGUCCGGCCGUUGAAACUGGGGG